CUCGUAGGUGGCCGCCUCAGUCCGACGUGAAAUCCCUCGGCUCAACCGGGGAACUGCGUCGGAUACUGGGUGGCUUGAAUCCGGGAGAGGGACGUGGAAUUCCAGGUGUAGCGGUGAAAUGCGUAGAUAUCUGGAGGAACACCGGUGGCGAAGGCGGCGUCCUGGACCGGUAUUGACACUGAGGAGCGAAAGCCAGGGGGAGCAAACGG
rnacentral:rRNA from 1 species